rnacentral:rRNA from 1 species
AUUGAACGCUGGCGGCAUGCCUUACACAUGCAAGUCGAACGGCAGCACGGGUGCUUGCACCUGGUGGCGAGUGGCGGACGGGUGAGUAAUACGUCGGAACGUGUCCAGAAGAGGGGGAUAACGCAUCGAAAGAUGUGCUAAUACCGCAUAUGCUCUGAGGAGGAAAGUAGGGGAUCGAAAGACCUUACGCUUUUGGAGCGGCCGAUGUCUGAUUAGCUAGUUGGUGGGGUAAGGGCCUACCAAGGCGACGAUCAGUAGUUGGUCUGAGAGGACGACCAGCCACACUGGGACUGAGACACGGCCCAGACUCCUACGGGAGGCAGCAGUGGGGAAUUUUGGACAAUGGGCGCAAGCCUGAUCCAGCAAUGCCGCGUGAGUGAAGAAGGCCUUCGGGUUGUAAAGCUCUUUCAGUCGAGAAGAAAAGGCUGCAGUGAAUAACUGUAGUUUAUGACGGUAUCGACAGAAGAAGCACCGGCUAACUACGUGCCAGCAGCCGCGGUAAUACGUAGGGUGCGAGCGUUAAUCGGAAUUACUGGGCGUAAAGGGUGCGCAGGCGGUUUUGUAAGUCAGAUGUGAAAUCCCCGGGCUUAACCUGGGAAUUGCGUUUGAAACUACAAGACUAGAGUGUGGCAGAGGGAGGUGGAAUUCCAUGUGUAGCAGUGAAAUGCGUAGAGAUAUGGAAGAACAUCGAUGGCGAAGGCAGCCUCCUGGGUUAACACUGACGCUCAUGCACGAAAGCGUGGGGAGCAAGCAGGAUUAGAUACCCUGGUAGUCCACGCCCUAAACGAUG